AUUAGUAAUAAUGGAAUAAGUGACGGCCCAUACACCUACGGGUGGCAGCAACAGGGAAUCGUACGCAAUGGACGAAAGUCUGACGUCGCAAUGCCGCGUGGAGGAUGAAGGCCUUCGGGUCGUAAACUCCUUUUACAGUAAUAGAGAUGUUAUUGAGAAUAAGCACCUGCUAACUCUGUGCCAGCAGCAGCGGUAAUACAGAGGGUGCAAGC
rnacentral:rRNA from 1 species